AACGAACCGUGCUAACGUUGUUGGGAUUCACUGGGCUUAAAGGGCGCGUAGGCGGUACGCCAAGUCUGGGGUGAAAUCUUUCGGCUCAAACGGAAAAUUGCCUGGGAUACUGGCGUGCUCGAGGGAGGUAGGGGCAGAGGGAACUGCCAGUGAAGCGGUGAAAUGCGUUGAUAUUGGCAGGAACGCCGGUGGCGAAAGCGCGCUGCUGGACCUCUGCUGACGCUGAGGCGCGAAAGAUAGGGGAGCAAACGGG
rnacentral:rRNA from 1 species